CCUACGGGAGGCAGCAGUGGGGAAUAUUGCACAAUGGGCGAAACCCUGAUGCAGCGACGCCGCGUGAGUGAAGAAGUAUUUCGGUAUGUUAAGCUCUAUCAGUAGGGAAGUAGCAUGACGGUACCUGACUAAGAUGCCCCUGCUAUCUACGUGCCAGCAGCCGCGGUCAUUCGUAGGGGGCAAGCGUUAUCCGGAUUUACUGGGUGUAAAGGGAGCGUAGACGGUAUGGCAAGUCUGAAGUGAAAGCGCAAGGCUUAACCCUCGGACUGCUUUUGAAACUGUUAGACUAGAGUGCUGGAGAGGUAAGUGGAAUUCGUAGUGUAGCGGUGAAAUGCGUAGAUAUUAGGAAGAACACCAGUGGCGAAGGCGGCUUACUGGACAGUAACUGACGUUGAGGCUCGAAAGCGUGGGGAGCAAACAGGAUUAGAUACCCCAGUAGUC
rnacentral:rRNA from 1 species